UGGAGAGGUGGUCGAGUGGUUUAUGGCUCUGGUCUUGAAAACCAGCGUGGACGCAAGUUCACCGUCGGUUCGAAUCCGACCCUCUCCGU
rnacentral:tRNA from 1 species